rnacentral:rRNA from 2 species
AGUACGUGAAACUGCUUAGAGGUUAAGCCCGAUGAACCUGAAUAUCCAUUAUGGAAAAUUCAAUAUUAAGAAUAUAAUAUAAAUAAUAUUAUAAAAAUAGUAUGCAAUUUUUCCAUAUAAGGACAUUGUAAUCUGUUAAUGUUAUAAAUAUUUAUCAAAAGAUCUAAUACUUAAGUUUAUUUAAAUUGUUUAUUUUCGGAUAUUCAACAUAAAAUAAAUGUGUUAGAUUGGAUAAAUCAUUGACAGAUCGAAUUAUAUAUUGUGCAUAAAUUCUUCGGAAUUUUUCAGUAGUAGAUAAAUCUAUUGAUUUAUUUAUUGAUUGCAUGCAUAAUUAUGAUUGACAAUGCGAUAGAUUCAGGAUACCUUCGGGACCCGUCUUGAAACACGGACCAAGGAGUCUAACAUAUGUGCAAGUCAUUGGGUAUUUUUAAUAAAACCCAAUGGCAUAAUUAACUUAACUGUUAUUUAUAAUGAGAUUAAUUUAUAUUUUGUUAUGAUUUAUUUAUUCAAUCUCGGGGCGUUCUAUACAGUUAUGCAUAAUAAUAUUUAUAUUAUUUAUGCCUCUAACUAGAGCGUACCUUGAGC